GACGAACGCUGGCGGCGUGCUUAACACAUGCAAGUCGAACGGAAAGGCCCUGCUUGCAGGGUGCUCGAGUGGCGAACGGGUGAGUAACACGUGUGUGAUCUGCCCCUUACUUUGGGAUAAGCCUGGGAAACUGGGUCUAAUACUGGAUAGGACCAUGCUGUAGGUGGUGUGGUGGAAAGAUUAGUUUCGGUAAGGGAUGAGCUCGCGGCCUAUCAGCUUGUUGGUGGGGUAAUGGCCUACCAAGGCGUCGACGGGUAGCCGGCCUGAGAGGGUGGACGGCCCCAUUGGGACUGUGAUACGGCGCAGACUCCUACGCGAGGCAGCAGUGGGGAAUAUUGUACAAUAGGCGCAAGCCUGAUGCGGCGACGCCGCGUGGGGGAUGACGGCCUUCGGGUUGUAAACUCCUUUCAGCCAUGACGAAGCCCUUGUGGUGACGGUAGUGGUAGAAGAAGCACCGGCUAACUACGUG
rnacentral:rRNA from 1 species